UUCUUCCUGCCCUGCCACAUUUCUGCUCCUUACGACGCGUGUUGUCCUCCCACCAUACCACAAACUUCCAAUUUCAUUCCCCUAAUCACGAUAUCCAGCACCAGAUCCCCAAAUCAAGAACAGUCCUUAGUCUCUUUCAUCCAACCAAGCCCUAAUUCCAUCAAAUCCAUCUGGAAACGGCGUCGGUUUACCGCCCGGUUUCCUCGAUCCGACGACGACAAAAAGCACGGCGGCGACCACCAGAAGCAUCUUAGCCACUGUGUACCAGACCACAAGAAGCACGGAGAUGACCACCAUAGCUUCGUAGGUCACGAUUUCAGUCUACGGAUUUGUCUUUCUUUUUGCUCUACAUGUGGUUCAUCUUCUUACUUUUCUUGCUCUGAUCGGUCUUUGCACGGAAUUAAUGCAGUUGAUAAAAGUUUCUUUUAUGUUUGAUCUAACUAGCAGGUGCACCCCCCACAAUGUUCCGGUCUUCGAGAAUGUAUAUGCAAGCAAGAAAAUGGAAUAAGGUUCGUUCUCGAGGAGGUGAAGAAGCAUGUGAGCAGUUUUCGAAAUACAGUUACAGUGAAGAAUCGAUAGGUUCGUUCGGCCUUUGCAUCCAACUCCACACACAGAGCCUUAUCUGUUGAAAUCGGCUGAAAAAACUUGAAGGAACUACCUGCCGUUGUAAAUAAAAAACAACAUACGUUUGCAAGCUGCUAGCCUGCUACACAUCAACGACUUUCAAAUGAUUAUCUACUAAUUGCCAUAAGUGGUGGGUUGAACCGACAAAGAACAGGGGGGUGACAAUUUUUCCUCUUCUAAGUUUCUGCUUUUGGCCUUUGAUAUGCACAUGCACUGAAGGAUACUUCUUCUGUAGCUGGACAAGCAAGGAAACAAGCUUUUAGAGCGUCAUUUGUUAACACAAGUUAGGACGCUUUAGAGAAUUAAGUAUGCGACUUCAAAAUAUCUAGCCAUUCAAUGAUAAGUUUAUCAGUAGUAAUACGGAAUAUUGCAGCAUGAAUUUUUUGCUUCAACAUGUUGAGUUUUGUACAAUUUUUUGUAGUAACAUAACUUGUAAACACAGCAUUUGAUUUAGCGACGUUUGUACAACUUAUGUAGCUAGCUUUCGUGCCCCGCCGCAAAUGCGGCGGGUACUAAUUCUAGUUUAAUAUAGUUAGUUAUUGAAGAUGAAACUACCAAUUAAUGAUGUAUGUAA